GAUCCAACCAGUGGGGUUAAGGUUGCUGUAACAUCAUGAGACAAUUAAAGUACUCAAAUGGGAGCCAAACACAUCUGUGUUCAGUGGAGCAGAGAACACCAAAUCAAAAACCCAAUAACAACAUAGCCUCUAUAGUUCCUUUGACAGCACUUCAGAUCUGAAAUCACUUGAGGCUGAAGAACAGGCAUAACAGCUUUGGUUCGGACGCUAGAGAAGGCCUUCAUCCUCGUUGACGUCACUCCAUGAUUCUGCCCUCGGACGACAACCCUACCAGAAGCAUUAAUAGACAUAUCUAUGUGUAUGACACUACAAUCUCAGUUUCACCAGUUAAGCAGAGACUUUUGCAAAGGAUGUUGUUUUAGAUAGUAUUUUAUAUAAACUUUUAGUGUGUAUUUGCUCGUUGAAUAAUCUCUAUUAUUUUUGCCCCAUUAAUUUAAUAAAACUUGUAACUUUGAUUAUACUUA